rnacentral:rRNA from 1 species
UGAACGCUGGCGGAAUGCUUUACACAUGCAAGUCGAGCGGCAGCGCGGGGCAACCUGGCGGCGAGCGGCGAACGGGUGAGUAAUGCAUCGGAACAUGUCCAUGUCGUGGGGGAUAGCCCGGCGAAAGCCGGAUUAAUACCGCAUGUGCCCUUCGGGGGAAAGCGGGGGACCGCAAGGCCUCGCGCGAUUGGGUUGGCCGAUGUCCGAUUAGCUAGUUGGUGGGGUAAAGGCCCACCAAGGCGAUGAUCGGUAGCUGGUCUGAGAGGAUGAUCAGCCACACUGGGACUGAGACACGGCCCAGACUCCUACGGGAGGCAGCAGUGGGGAAUUUUGGACAAUGGGGGAAACCCUGAUCCAGCCAUUCCGCGUGAGUGAAGAAGGCCUUCGGGUUGUAAAGCUCUUUUGUCCGGAACGAAACGGUGGACGUGAAUAUCGUCCGCUACUGACGGUAUCGGAAGAAUAAGCACCGGCUAACUACGUGCCAGCAGCCGCGGUAAUACGUAGGGUGCGAGCGUUAAUCGGAAUUACUGGGCGUAAAGCGUGCGCAGGCGGUUUUGCAAGCCGGAUGUGAAAUGCCCGGGCUCAACCUGGGAAUGGCAUUCGGGACUGCAAGGCUGGAGUGCGGCAGAGGAGACUGGAAUUCCUGGUGUAGCAGUGAAAUGCGUAGAUAUCAGGAGGAAUACCGAUGGCGAA